UACGGAGGGUGCAAGCGUUAAUCGGAAUUACUGGGCGUAAAGCGUGCGCGGGCGGUUUGUUAAGUCUGUUGUGAAAUCCCCGAGCUCAACUUGGGAAUUGCAAUGGAUACUGGCAGGCUGGAGUAUGGUAGAGGAAGGUGGAAUUCCCGGUGUAGCAGUGAAAUGCGUAGAGAUCGGGAGGAACACCAGUGGCGAAGGCGGCCUUCUGGACCAAUACUGACGCUCAUGCACGAAAGCGUGGGGAGCGAACAGG
rnacentral:rRNA from 1 species